rnacentral:misc_RNA from 1 species
GUGAAGCCUUGGGCUGCAUUGAAGAGAGGCUGCAUCCAAAUUUUUUUCCAUAUUUUUGGUGGAUAGGCAAUAACACAGUUGAUAGAAAUGUGAAGAGCUAGAAAUAAUUGCAAACUCUCCUACUAAUAAGACAGAUAGGCAUGCAAGAAAGAAGAGAAAAGAGAGAUUUUAUUUUCUUCUUCUAAUUCAUCAUAACAUAAAUAAAA